rnacentral:rRNA from 1 species
GACGAACGCUGGCGGCGUGCUUAACACAUGCAAGUCGAACGAAGAGCGACGGAAGCUUGCUUCUAUCAAUCUUAGUGGCGAACGGGUGAGUAACGCGUAAUCAACCUGCCCUUCAGAUGGGGACAACAGUUGGAAACGACUGCUAAUACCGCAUAUGAUCUAACCUCGGCAUCGAGGAUAGAUGAAAGGUGGCCUCUACAUGUAAGCUAUCACUGCAGGAUGGGAUUGCGUCUGAUUAGCAAGUUGGCGGGGUAACGGCUAACCAAGGCGAUGAUCAGUAGCCCGUCUGAGAGGAGGUACGGAGACAGCGGGAGUGAGACGAGGCCCACAAGCCUACGGAGGGCAGCAGUUGACAACUAUCCGAAAUAGACGUGAGGAAGAUGGUGCAACGGGGGCAAAGCGAAGACGGCAGUUCUGUUGUAACGAACAGGGUAUCCGGAUGAAAGAGUGCCUUCAGAAGAGUAGGAAGGAGUGACGGUACCGGAAGAAGAAGCCACGGCUAACUACGUG